GAACAGUACAUUAUGUUUGAUUAGCUGCGUGAUCGGAUUCAUGAAGCGGGUUUUCAUGUUGAUGUUGAUACAUCUGACAGGACAAUCCAGAAAAAAGUACGGGAAGCUCAGGUUGCGCAGUACAACUACAUAUUAGUGGUUGGUGAAAAGGAAGCAACCACUGGAGAGGUUAGCGUCCGAGUGAGAGACAUUCCUGAUCACAAAGUGAUGACGGUUGAUGAACUCCUGGCUCACUUUAAGGAUUUAAUGGCAUCAUAUAAGUAAUACAUUCCUGCUUGUAUGCCUUUUUAUUUUAUAGAUCGCAGUCAUUCAGUAUGACUUUUGAUUGAACAUGGCAUAAUGCAAAAGAUCAUUUUCUUCCAAAUUCAUCCACUGUCACGGUAUAUUAUCUGCUUAUACAUACAGGAUUUUAUUUUAUUUAUU